rnacentral:lncRNA from 1 species
CCGGUCCUCCGCCCCCUCCGCCUUCUCCUCGCGGCGGCGGCGGCGUUCUCGGCCCCGGCUCCUCGCGCUUCUCCGCGGCUUCGCCCCGCUCCUCCCGGGGCUCCCGCGCCGCGCUGGCCAGGACGGCAUUGCUGCAGGGAGCCUCUGGGAGUUCCAGGGUGAAGAGAUCAGCCUUCAUCUGGAGACCUCUGCUAAAGGUGAAGACCUCCUAACGGGCCAGACAGCCUUAGCAGGAUUUCAGAAGUCUUACCAAGAAUCCUGUGGAGCAUUACAUUCCCCUGUUUGGAGUGUGGACAAGAGUUUGGCAUUCUACUUUUACAGGUACCUUUUUGAAUUAAAAUGCACAUUUCUUUCCUAGAGGUUGAUAAAAGGAGAGCAAUUCCAGAAUGAUUUUACUAUGUCCUCCUCUGCUGUCUUGGGAGGUAUGUUGUGAUAGUUUCUCUUCCUGCACCUUUACCAGUCCACUGGGUUGGCAGAUUCAUUAGUUGCAAGUAUAUAGUUGAAUGCCAUUUCAGAAAGAUUAAGGCUUUCUCUUCUCUUGCUGGACUCAGUCAUGCAGCCAUGUAUGUGUUGCAGAAUGUGUUGCAGAAAAAGUACUCCAGUAGUUCCAGGCUUUUUCUCACCCUUUAUUCCCAGUCUGUACUUUGGUUAUAGUUGCUCCAUUCAGUAAAAUUGUUUUAGCUUUUUACAAUGGAGACCUCCAGUGCAAGUGAACAUUUCUUGCCUUAGUCCUCCAGAGCUUUCUAUUUAUUUCUGUUACUUACCUAACUCUUUUUUGGAAGUAUUCCAGUAGUUCC